CACCAUCAUCAGCACUAAAGGAUGACAGCAUCAUACCAGGUAGGAGAGAUGAGAGGCUGGACCAGGAAAUACCAGACUGCAUUCGUCUUCUGAAAGUACUGCAUUAAAAACCAAUUUGUUGCUCUUACAGCAACUUUUGUGGCAGCUCUUAUGCUUUUGUGCAGGUGCAUAAGAGGAGAGCAAUUAGCACUCUCUAAUUGGACCCCCCCCAAGUUCUUCUAAGCUCUCUGCAUGCUAUAUAGAGCACACAUGAUCACUAGCUUCUGAAGCUACAAUUUGGUCAAUAUGAUGGACUGCAGAACAAAACUGAUAGACCGGAAGGCUCUAUUCUGAGGCUUCAGACACUUCAAAAGCCAUUGAACCCAAUAUAGAUAUGUGCUACAGACAGGUACAUCUACACCUGGGUUUGUGCAGUUUUCUUCUGAAGGAAACAUACCAUAAUGGUCAGUUUGCAGCUGUCAGGCUAAGACCAUUUUCCUUGGGUCAUUAACACGGGUAAGUCUUCGUUAUGAUGUCUAGCCUAGUUUGUGGCAUUCAUCACUUAGCAGUAACCCGAUUCGCUGGGGUCUGUAGAAAAUGUCAGCUGAAUGACAAUGUUCUCUAUGCUUAUCCAUGGUUUGCCAGUCCAAAUAGCACUGGUGAAUUUGCUCCUGUCAUCUUUUGUUGUCAGUCAGAAUGGGGUGGGGUAGGAGCCAUCCUUUUUAUUGUUAUUGUUGGAUGAACACUUUUUGGGGGGUGUUAUAUUGUAUCUUUUUCUAUGGAUUUGGCUUUUAAUUGAUUACCAAGGUGUUUUGAAUUUUAUGGAUUUUUGAUUCUCUUUGAGACCUCUUCUUGUGGAAAGUGAUGAAUGGCAAUUCAUCUGCAGAGAAGAGAGAGAUCCUCACUGCUAAUUGCCUACUGAGAAGAGAAGGGAACACUUGGCACCAGCCAAGCUGGUGGGCAUUACUUGGUGGCAAAAACAUGGUGCAAGAGACCCCACAUCCAUACUCCUGGUGCUGGAUUAGAGCCCCCCCCCAAAGCAAGCCAGUCAGACGCCUGGGGCAGGGCCGUGGGGCCUCCAAGGAGUCUGCCUGCCUCCACCCACUCAGCCGCCUUUCAGCUGAGGGGGAGGCAAGCAGGCAGACCGUUUGGGGCAUUGUGGAGUCUGUGGGCACCAAUCCACUGCGUCACUCGCAGAAGAGAUGCGUGGCUUGGGCGUGCUGCAGGCCUCGCAGUGAGUGCCACUCGGCAUUUUGUCACUGCCCCUCAGUGGUGACACCUGGGGUGGCCCGCCCCUGCCACACCCCCUUUCUCCGUCCCUGCCCCCCCCCCCCAUAGCAACAUUUGUGACAGCAGAAUGGAGCAUAUUAGGUACUGUACUUUGUUUUAGCACUAGAUAUGAGCAUCUCAUUCUACUCUGUGGGAAGACUUCAGUGUAGCACUACGGCUAAUGUUCCAUCAGCACAAGGAUUUUUCCUUGUGCAACAGAAUGCGCUCCCCCUCUCCUCCGCCCUAAAUCUGUUCUAGGGUGGGAAAGUCCCAUUGCAUAAGUGGACACCAUUCUUCUCACACAGUUGUUUAGUUGAAUUCCGCCUGUGAACCUUUAUAUACUUCUGGGAGCACAUAAUCUCUCCUGACUCACUGUAGCUCUCUGAGGGCUAUUAUGGUAGAGAGAAUUCUGUUUGUCAUCAUAACCUUUCUGAUAUGUGAUGAAGUCAUCAUAUAUGCCACUGUUCUCAUAGACAUGAUUUUAAAAAAUUGGAACCUAGAGUAGUGAGCUUAUAUAAAUCAAUCACUUAUUAACAUAUACUGGGACUCUGACUCUUGUUGAAUUGCGGGGGGACCAGCCAGAGGAGUGAUUUUUAACAGAGAAAUGACUGAUGAGAAAAGAGUUAAGCACCCCCACCCCACUCCUGUGUUUCCGAAUCCCUGGCUGCUUUUCAUUUUAAAAAUCACCAGGACUUCAGUAUAAGUAUCUGUAAGUAACAUGUCAUUUACUCAUGAUGAAAAAAGGCAUUCCAAUGCUUUAGCUCUUGAGCAUCGCUGCUGGAAGAAAGAAGAAAUUGGCAUGGUGUGUGGGUGUGUAAAAAACAGACAGGUCUUUUCUCAUCAAAAUCCUAUGAUAAACGUAUAUUGAGGAAAUCACAGUGUAAAGCGUCACCAAGAGACAAAGAAUAGCCUUGAAAUCCUGAAUAUAUGAGCCUUAGCAUAUGUGUUGCAGUAACCCGAUUCACCGGGUUCUGUAGAAAAUGUCAGUUGAAUGACAAUGUUCUCUAUGCUUAUCCAUGGUUUGCAAGUCCAAAUAGCACUGGUGGAUUUGCUCCUGUCGUCUUUUGUUGUCAGUCAGAAUACAAAACCAGAGUUUGUGUAGUGAAUGUGUAGUAGUUGCUGGCAACAGCUAACUAGAGUGAAAAGAAAUACUUCAAAUUUCCCAACAGCAGAUAUUUUCUUUAAAAAGAAAAAGAAAUGAAACAGAUGCCAUUGUGGUACUCAAAUCAAUUGUUACCCAUAUUUCCCUUGCUUCCUUUUCCCCCUCCAUCUUCUGUAAAUACCCAGAAUGAGGUGAAUCAGCUGAUUUGGAACAAGCUUUCAUGUCUCUGAGCUGGUUUGCGCCGUUAAUAAGGUGUGUCACCGAACCCCCAAAGCACUCUCUUUUUCUUCACAGAGAACACUUCCAGGAAAGGGGGAGGGGAGAACAAGAAAAGUGUGACUUUUCCAUUUUUCUAUAAUGAAGGUAAAAUAAACAAGCACAGUUGUCCCUGGACAUGCUUGUCUGAAAUUUGGUGUGCUUUUUUUUUGGUCCAGGGACACCUCCCUCAUGGCCCCCAUUUUCAAACUGCUUGUCAGAAACAACAUCAACAACAACAACCCCAGGGGAGCAUGUUUUUACCCCCUGCUUCAAAUGGUAAAGAUUACCCUGGGGCUAAAAAGCUCCCAUUUCAUGUUGACUGGGUGGCUGGUAGGAAGAUGAAGACAUGGACCCUCCUGCAAAAAUGAUAAUGGGUCUUUGACACCCCUCAGCCCUUGACUGCUAAGGAGAAGUGAAAAAUAGGCUUGGAGUCAAAUAUAUAUACCAUAUAUUGAAUUUGGUACCAAUGAAUAUUCACAUCAAAAUGUGAAAUUCCCAGUAAUAUUUGACUUCCAAUUAAUUGUGCUGCCCUUAAUACAACUUAUCUGAUACUUCAGAGGGUAAUAUGCCAGUGGAGACUUAUUUACCCUUGCUCCCAUGGCUAAUCUACAUUUUUAAGUGCAUGGCACCUUUCUGUUGUAGGCAAGUUUUCAGAUCCAUAUUCAUGAAAGCAAUUAACAGCUAUCAUUCUCAGGCAAGACAUUGUGACUUAGCACUGCAUAAUCACUAUGGUGGUUGAGGUUCCAAAAACACUUCAAAUCACAAAAUUUCCACAUCAACUAAUCCGGAUGUUAUAUAUAGCUGUUGCUUAAUGCUAAAUAAAUAUUUGUGUCAGUUAAAGACAUUUUUAGAUUCUUAAUACACAUUUUCUUAUGAAUCAAUAUGUUAUUUCAUCAAGCAUGCAUCUUGAUCAUUGUUAACAAGUAUGAUGAUCAUAACUGAUGGAUUUUGGUGAUGGCCGCUAGUUUAAAUGGCUUUAAAGGGGGGAUUGGGGAAGGCUAUUGUUGAAGAUUAAUUCCCCGUCUCUGCAGUCAUGGGAUUUUUGUCUAUCACAUGACGGUGUAUGUUUUCAUUCCACAGAGUGGGAAGUGACGGAGACAGGAUGUUUGUGUUACUGUGUUCCGUGAAAUGGGAUUAUUGUCCUUUGUUCUUUCUCUUUGCUGUCUGGUGAGAAAGAGGAAGGAGCUAAGUCAGAAUGCUCCGAGUGUUUUACAUGUAAAUAAAGUAGAUUAGCCAAAAUGUUGAGUUGCUGAGGUCUGUUACGCAAGCUGCGAAGACUCUGCGGAUCCCUAAGUGUACUGAUGUUUCUUGGCAUCAGUCGCUGUGAUGUUCGGGCAGAAGAAAGCUUUUGAAGCUCCCAAACGAUCGACCAGGAGGAAGAGAACAUGCCAGUUAGGCAUGUGUCUCUACCAGGGUCCUUCUUGAGAGUAGGACGGCUCCUGACAGCUAUAGUCAUGAUGGCUGUAUGAAUAUCAUGUGCUGUGAAUCACAAUCAGUAGAUGGCUUCUGCACUCAUGCCUGGCUUUUAAGACUGUCCAUAGGCAGCAGAUUGGCCAUGGUUGGGAACAGACUAUUGGAUUAAACAGACCUGUAGUCUGAUUCAUCUGGGUUCUUUGUAUGAAAUGCAACUGAUGACAAGAUCAUGAGCCAGAGCCCCCAUAAUUCUGGAACCUUUUUUUUAAAAAAACCCAAUUCCUGAAGUUGUUUUUAUUUUAUUUUUCUUUCCUAGCGCCUGUUCUCAGGAAGGCACAUUUCUGAAGGUUCUUGAUCAGCAGAAUGCAAAAAAGAAAUGGAAUGAAAUGAAAGCUGGUUAAGUACUGCUUGUCUGGGAACAAAAGGUGAACCAUACAACCAUUAAUCACAAAGCACGGGACCUUUGUUUGGGGGCUGAGGUCACAAACUGCCAGUUGGUUUAUUCCUGAUUGCUUCAUGGUGGUAAUGGAAGUGCCCAGACAGCCUUGAUCUUUUCAGUUGACCCGACCUGAUCUUUUUUUGUGAGGGUUAAUUGGUAAUUUAAGUAUACUGUACAGGUCGAAUGAUUUGAAGUGCAUGCCAUUAAGAGUGAGAUUCAACACACUCUCAUCAUUAUGAGGGAUGUUUGGCUUAGAGGGAGGAAAGGCACGCGGAU